UACGUAGGGGCCUAGCGUUGUCCGGAUUUAUUGGGCGUAAAGAGCUCGUAGGCGGUUCGGUAAGUCAGGUGUGAAAUCUCCACGCUCAACGUGGAGGAGCCACCUGAUACUGCCGUGACUCGAGUCCGGUAGGGAGUGGUGGAACUCCCGGUGUAGCGGUGGAAUGCGCAGAUAUCAGGAGGAACACCGGUGGCGAAGGCAGAUCUCCGGGCCGUAACUGACACUGAGGCGCGACAGCGUGGGGAGCAACAGG
rnacentral:rRNA from 1 species